rnacentral:sRNA from 1 species
AUAAUGAACCUAGCAGAAGCUUAAAGAUC